AUCAGUCACCCGAUAGCUGGUUCGAUAGUGGAGUUUUCACGAUGACCUUUCUUGAACACUGGAGUGGAAGAUUGGCUAUGCGAAUUACAAAGGAAAAUAUUACGAAGUAUCGAAUGCUGUACACCGCGCGGCUUUGUAGUUCGGAGCAUAAUACAAAGUUUGUA